UGCAAAUGGCGAAUAACCAUGCUUCCUGUCAUCUGUGACAAUGGGAUACUGUUAUCAAAUACUACUGUCAUGGUCCUUGGGAAUACUAUGGAUGUCUCAUUUCAGUUCCCAGCCUGGCCCCUGCAGUGGACUCAGCAACUGGAUCUACCUAUUAGAACCAAGGUUGGAGCCAAAGUUUCUAAAACUGACAUAGCUCUAGAAAUUUAUGAGCACUUUCAGUACAUGAAAUAGUAUUUUAGGACUGUGAAAAAACGUAAGUAAUCACUGCUUUCUAAUAGAUACAAUAAUUCAAAUUUUAGCAAGAUCAAACUUUACUUUUUGCCUGUGAUAAACCUUUAUGAGUUUGUAAACAAAUCACAAAUUUGAUUUUUUUUAAAUUUAGGAUUGUACUCCUAGCAUUUGUUUUGUAACACUAAUGAAGGAAAGAGACAAUGCAAACCAUUUCAACAUCACUAUUUUGAGCUUUGGUAUGGUUACAUUUAUUUCAGAGGUAAUGGGGUGUGUGUGUGUGUGUGUGUGUGUGUGUGUGUGUGACGCUGAAAAGUUCUGGGGGCCGGGUGCAGUGGCUCACACCUGUAAUCCCAGCACUUUGGGAGGCCAAGGCAGGCAGAUCACUUGAGGCCAGGAGUUUGAGACCAGCCUGGCCAAAAUGGUGAAACCCAAUCUCUACAAAAAAUACAAAAAUUAGCCAGGCAUGGUGUCAGGUUCCUGUAAGGCUGAGGCAAGAGAAUUGCUUGAACCCAAGAGGCAGAGGUUUCAGUGAGCCUAGAUCGUGCCACUACACCUCCAGCCUGGGCUACAA
rnacentral:lncRNA from 1 species